UACAGAGGGGGCAAGCGUUAUUCGGAAUUAUUGGGCGUAAAGGGUGCGUAGGUGGGUCUGUAAGUCAGUGGUGAAAUCUCCGGGCUUAACCCGGAAACUGCCAUUGAUACUAUAGGUCUUGAAUUAUCUGGAGGUAAGCGGAAUAUGUCAUGUAGCGGUGAAAUGCUUAGAUAUGACAUAGAACACCAAUUGCGAAGGCAGCUUACUACGGAUACAUUGACACUGAGGCACGAAAGCGUGGGGAUCAAACAGG
rnacentral:rRNA from 1 species